UGGUAAUCAAGCCUACCACUGUAGUGUCGUCUGCAAACUUGAUGAUUGAGUUGGAGGCGUGCAUGGCCACGCAGUCGUGGGUGAACAUGGAGUACAGGAGAGGGCUGAGAACGCACCCUUGUGGGGCCCCAGUGUUGAGGAUCAGCGGGGUGGAGAUGUUGUUACCUACCCUCACCACGUGGGGGCGGCCCGUCAGGAAGUCCAGGACCCAGUUGCGCAGGGCGGGGUCGAGACCCAGGGUGUCGAGCUUAAUGGCGAGUUUGGAGGGUACUAUGGUGUUAAAUGCUGAGCUGUAAUCGAUGAACAGCAUUCUUACAUAGGUAUUCCUCUUGUCCAGAGGGGUUAGGGCAGUGUGCAGUGUGAUUACGUCGUCUGUGGACCUAUUGGGGCGGUAAGCAAAUUGGAGUGGGUCUAGGGUGUCAGGUAGGGUGAUAUGGUCCUUCACUAGUCUCUCAAAGCACUUCAUGUUGACGGAAGUGAGUGCUAUGGGGCGGUAGUCAUUUAGCUCAGUUACCUUAGCUUUCGUUGGGAACAGGAACAAUGGUGGCCCUCUUGAAGCAUGUGGGAAUAGCAAACUGGGGUAAGGUAUGAUUGAAUAUGUCCGUAAACACACCAGCCAGCUGGUCUGCGCAUGCUCUGAGGACGCGGCCGGGGAUGCCGUCUGGGCCUUCAGCCUUGCGAGGGUUAACACGUUUAAAUGUUUUACUCACGUUGGCUGCAGUGAAGGAGAGCCCGCAGGUUUUCGUAGCGAGCCAUGUCAGUGGCACUGUAUUGUCCUCAAAGCGAGCAAAGAAGUUGUUUAGUCUGUCUGGGAGCAAGACAUCGUGGUCCCCGACGGGGCUGGUUUUUCUUUUGUAGUCCGUGAUUGACUGUUGACCCUGCCACAUACCUCUCGUGUCUGAGCCGUUGAAUUGCGACUUCACUUUGUCUCUAUACUGAUGCUUAGCUUGUUUGAUUGCCUUGCGGGGGGAAUAGCUACACUGUUUGUAUUCGGUCAUGUUUCCGGUCACCUUGCCCUAAUUAAAAGAAGUGGUUCGCACUUUCAGUUUUGCGCGAAUGCUGCCAUCAAUCCACGGUUUCUGGUUGGGGAAUGUUUUAAUAGUUGCUGUGGGUACAACAUCACCGAUGCACUUGCUAAUAAACUCGCUCACCAAAUCAGCGUAUUCAUCAAUGUUGUUGUUCGACGUUAUGCGGAACAUAUCCCAGUCCACAUGAUCGAAGCAAUCUUGAAGCGUAGAAUCCGAUUGGUCGGACCAGCGUUGAACAGACCUGAGCGCGGGUGCUUCCUGUUUGAGUUUCUGUCUAUAGGCUGGGAGCAACAAAAUGGAGUCGUGGUCAGCUUUUCCAAAAGGAGGGCGCGGGAGGGCCUUAUAUGCAUUGCGGAAGUUAGAAUAACAAUGAUCCAGGGUUUUGCCGGCCCGGGUUGCGCAAUCGAUAUGCUGAUAAAAUUUAGGGAGCCUUGUUUUCAGAUUAGCCUUGUUAAAAUCCCCAGCUACAAUAAAUGCAGCCUCAGGAUAUGUGGUUUCCAGUUUACAUAGAGUUGAAUGAAGUUCUUUCAGGGCCGUCGAUGUGUCUGCUUGGGGCGGAAUAUACGCAACUGUGAUUAUGAUCGAAGAGAAUUAUCUUGGUAGAUAAAGCGGUCGGCAUUUGAUUGUGAGGAAUUCUAAGUCAGGUGAACAAAAGGACUUGAGUUCCUGUAUGUUGUUAUGAUCACACCACGUCUCGUUAAUCGUAAGGCAUACACCCCCGCCCUUCUUCUUAUCAGAGAGCUGCCCAUUUCUGUCGGCACGACGCGUGAAGAAACCAGGUGGCUGUACUGACUCCGAUAGCGUGUCUCGAGUGAGCCAUGUUUCCGUGAAACAAAGAACGUUACAGUCUCUGAUGUCUCUCUGGUAUGCAACCCUUGCUCGGAUCUCGUCCACCUUGUUGUCAAGAGACUGGACAUUGGCGAGUAGUAUGCUCGGGAGCGGUGUGCGAUGUGCCCGUCUACGGAGCCUGACCAGAAGACCGCUCCAUCUGCCCCUUCUACGGCGCCGUUGUUUUGGGUCGCCGGCUGGGUUCCGAACCAUUGUCCUGGGUGGUGGACCAAACAGAGGAUCUGCUUCGGGAAAGUCGUAUUCCUGGUAGUAAUGUUGCUUUGAUGCGCUGGAGCCUGGUGUUGUUGGGACCAGGUUUCAGCUGCUGCGCAACGCUGACAUCCUUCCUGCCAUGGAUGGUCUGCAUGUACAAUCACCACCUGGACUGGACACAGCUAGACAAACUAUAUUUUUGAGAAGAUCAGGGAGUUUUGCGACGAAGAGGCUAUGGACAUCACAUGUCCUGCACCAAAGUCAAGGGCAGGACAGAAACAGGCUCUCCGAAGAUAGAUUCCCUUGUUCAUGCGUAGUUCGGACAGACCAGCCAUCAGCAAUAUCUGCAGUGCCUCUAUUCAAAUGACUCUCUCCUAACACACACGCCAUACGUUGCUGCUACCAUUUUUUUUUUUUAUCCUGCUGCUCAGCCACUUUACCCCUGAUUGUAUGCAUAUAACUACCUCAGCUAUCAUUAUUGAUAUUGUUCUUGUACAUACUGUAUAUUAUUUUAUUUAUAGUGACACUAUCUAUGUCUGAUAUUGCUACUAUGCAAGUAACCAUUUGGCUGUACCGUUUACACCUUCUGUAGAGACCCUUCCACUUAGCAAGACUUAGAAAAUAUUGAUAUACAUAAAAUUAAUAUUGAUAUGUAACAUGAUUUUGUGACAUACCAGAAAAAUAUAAUCUGACCGUAUCAAGUGUCCACCAUAUAUAUAUAUGGAGCAUGCAGCUGUUUAUGUACUGUACAUGUGCAUCUCACUCAGGUUUCAACUCAGUUUGCAUGGCCUUAAUUUAUGUAUGGAAUACUAUGUGAUAAGUGUGUGUGUAACAGUAUAUGAAGUAUGCUAAUGUACUGUGGUGUAAAGUACUUCAGUAAAAAUACUUAUUUUUUUGUUGUAUCUGUACGUUACUUUACUAUUUACAUUUUUGGCAACUUUUACUUCACUAUAUUCCUAAAGAAAAUAAUGUACUUUUUACUCCAUACAUUUUCCCUGGCACUCAAAAGUACUCAUUACUCAAGUAGUAUUUUACUGGGUAACAUACCUUAAUAGAAAAUUACUCAAGUAAAAGUAUCUUUACUUUUACUGAAGUAUGACAAUGUAGUACAUUUUUCACCACUGGAUGUGGCUAGGGGUUAUAGCAUUUCUUUCACAUGACCCAUCAAUUUAG
rnacentral:lncRNA from 1 species